rnacentral:rRNA from 1 species
CAGGCGAUACGGNCAUAACUAGAGUGCUGUAGGGGAGACUGGAAUUCCUGGUGUAGCGGUGGAAUGCGCAGAUAUCGGGAGGAACACCGAUGGCGAAGGCAGNUCUCUGGGCAGUAACUGACGCUGAGGAGCGAAAGCAUGNGGAGCGAACAGGAUUAGAUACCCUGGUAGUCCAUGCUGUAAACGGUGGGCGUUAGGUGUGGGGACCGGUUUGGUUUCUGUGCCGUAGCUAACGCAUUAAGCGCCCCGCCUGGGGAGUACGGCCGCAAGGCUAAAACUCAAAGGAAUUGACGGGGGCCCGCACAAGCGGCGGAGCAUGUGGAUUAAUUCGAUGCAACGCGAAGAACCUUACCUGGGUUUGACAUGCACCAGACGGUUGUAGAGAUACGUACCUCCCUUUGUGGUUGGUGUGCAGGUGGUGCAUGGUUGUCGUCAGCUCGUGUCGUGAGAUGUUGGGUUAAGUNNNNNANNNNNCGCAACCCUUGUCUUAUGUUGCCAGCACUUUGGGUGGGGACUCAUGAGAUACAGCCGGGGUUAACUCGGAGGAAGGUGGGGAUGACGUCAAAUCAUCAUGCCCUUUAUGCCCAGGGCUUCACACAUGCUACAAUGGUUAGUACAACGCGCUGCGAGCCUGUGAGGGUGAGCGAAUCGCUGAAAGCUAAUCUCAGUUCGGAUUGGGGUCUGCAACUCGACCCCAUGAAGUCGGAGUCGCUAGUAAUCGCAGAUCAGCAAUGCUGCGGUGAAUACGUUCCUGGGCCUUGUAC